rnacentral:rRNA from 1 species
UACGUAGGGUGCAAGCGUUAAUCGGAAUUACUGGGCGUAAAGCGUGCGCAGGCGGUUUUGUAAGACAGGCGUGAAAUCCCCGGGCUCAACCUGGGAAUUGCGCUUGUGACUGCAAAGCUGGAGUGCGGCAGAGGGGGAUGGAGUUCCGCGUGUAGCAGUGAAAUGCGUAGAUAUGCGGAGGAACACCGAUGGCGAAGGCAAUCCCCUGGGCCUGCACUGACGCUCAUGCACGAAAGCGUGGGGAGCAAACAGG